rnacentral:rRNA from 1 species
UACGGGGGGGGCAAGCGUUGUUCGGAAUUACUGGGCGUGAAGGGCUCGUAGGUGGCCAACUAAGUCAGACGUGAAAUCCCUCGGCUUAACCGGGGAACUGCGUCUGAUACUGGAUGGCUUGAGUUUGGGAGAGGGACGCGGAAUUCCAGGUGUAGCGGUGAAAUGCGUAGAUAUCUGGAGGAACACCGGUGGCGAAGGCGGCGUCCUGGACCAACACUGACACUGAGGAGCGAAAGCCAGGGGAGCAAACGGG